UUAUUUGUCGAAGUGGGUAGACGCUACGGACUUAAAAUCCGUUGGCUUUAUUGACCGUGAGGGUUCAAGUCCCUCUACCCCCA
rnacentral:tRNA from 1 species